UACGUAGGGAGCAAGCGUUGUUCGGAUUUACUGGGCGUAAAGGGCGCGUAGGCGGCCUGUCAAGUCAAUUGUGAAAUCUCCGGGCUUAACUCGGAACGGUCAAUUGAUACUGUCAGGCUAGAGUGCAGAAGGGGCAAUCGGAAUUCUUGGUGUAGCGGUGAAAUGCGUAGAUAUCAAGAGGAACACCUGAGGUGAAGACGGGUUGCUGGGCUGACACUGACGCUGAGGCGCGAAAGCCAGGGGAGCAAACGGG
rnacentral:rRNA from 1 species